rnacentral:rRNA from 1 species
GCUGGCGGCGUGCCUAACACAUGCAAGUCGAACGAGAAAGUGGUAGCAAUACCAUGAGUAAAGUGGCGCACGGGUGAGUAACACGUGACUAACCUACCUUGGAGUUCGGAAUAACCUCGGGAAACCGGGGCUAAUACCGGAUAACACCUACGGGUCAAAGGAGCAAUUCGCUCUGAGAGGGGGUCGCGGCUGAUUAGCUAGUUGGCAGGGUAAUGGCCUACCAAGGCGACGAUCAGUAUCCGGCCUGAGAGGGCGCACGGACACACUGGAACUGAAACACGGUCCAGACUCCUACGGGAGGCAGCAGUGGGGAAUUUUGCACAAUGGGGGAAACCCUGAUGCAGCAACGCCGCGUGGAGGAUGAAGAUCUUUGGAUUGUAAACUCCUUUCGACCGGGACGAUUAUGACGGUACCGGGAGAAGAAGCACCGGCUAACUCUGUGCCAGCAGCCGCGGUAAUACAGAGGGUGCAAGCGUUGUUCGGAAUUAUUGGGCGUAAAGGGCGCGUAGGCGGUGCGGUAAGUCUGCGGUGAAAUCUCCCGGCUCAACUGGGAGUCUG